UACGAAGGGGCUAGCGUUGCUCGGAAUCACUGGGCGUAAAGGGUGCGUAGGCGGGUUUUUAAGUCAGGGGUGAAAUCCUGGAGCUCAACUCCAGAACUGCCUUUGAUACUGAAGAUCUUGAGUCCGGGAGAGGUGAGUGGAACUGCGAGUGUAGAGGUGAAAUUCGUAGAUAUCGCAAGAACACCAGUGGCGAAGGCGGCUCACUGGCCCGGUACUGACGCUGAGGCACGAAAGCGUGGGGAGCAAACAGG
rnacentral:rRNA from 1 species